UACGGGGGGAGCAAGCGUUGUUCGGAUUUACUGGGCGUAAAGGGCGCGUAGGCGGCGCAACAAGUCACUUGUGAAAUCUCCGGGCUUAACCCGGAGCGGCCAAGUGAUACUGUCGUGCUAGAGUGCGGAAGGGGCUACUGGAAUUCUCGGUGUAGCGGUGGAAUGCGUAGAUAUCGAGAGGAACACCUGCGGCGAAGGCGGGUAGCUGGGCCGACACUGACGCUGAGGCGCGAAAGCCAGGGGAGCGAACGGA
rnacentral:rRNA from 1 species